UCAUUCCAUGAAGAAAAUACAGAGAACAUUAACAGCUUGGUAUCAAUGGUAUCACGAACUGCUGGAAUUCACUGUCAAGAUCUUCAGAACAGGGCAGCAGUGGCUGAUAAGACCUUCAGAGACCCCCUGAGAUUUGGGCACCAAGGUGGAUUAACCAGACACCUGGCCUAGACGAUUAUUGAUUUCUACUGGUCACCUAGCACCCUGUUGACUGGGACACGCUUGUGUUAUCCAGCCCCAGAUCCGCUCUCUGAUAUUCCACUCUCUGACACGUCUGCCUGUCUGAAGACUUGCGACUUACUUUAUGCCUGCAAGGAACGUAGAGAAGAACACGACCUUUUGAAGAUUAUACCUAAAAAAUAUGCGUGUGAAUGGAAAAGUAAGAGCACAGAAUAGCUGAAUGGAUUGAUCCCUUUCUGUCCAUCAGGUUAUCCAUAAAAUAUUCUGGACCUUCGGAGUUGCCAAACCAAUAUGAAACCAAGGCUGAACUUGGAGAAUGAGAUGGAACGUAGCUGGUGGAAGCCACGAGAUGAGGCGACUGGCAGAAGGCGUCACCGUUAUUCCGAGGUGUUUCU